rnacentral:rRNA from 1 species
GACAGAGGCCUCAAGCGUUAGGCGGAAUCACUGGGCUUAAAGCGUGUGUAGGCGGAUCGUUAAGUGUCUUGUGAAAUCCCACGGCUCACCCGUGGAACUGCUGGGCAUACUGGCGAUCUUGGGCCAACUAGGGGCAGCCGGAACAAGCGGUGGAGCGGUGAAAUGCGUAGAUAUCACUUGGAACGCCAAUGGUGAAAACAGGUAGCUGGGGUUGUGCUGACGCUGAGACACGAAAGCUAGGGGAGCAAACGGG